UACGUAGGGGGCAAGCGUUGUCCGGAAUCAUUGGGCGUAAAGAGCGUGUAGGCGGCCCGGUAAGUCCGCUGUGAAAGUCCAGGGCUCAACCCUGGGAUGCCGGUGGAUACUGCAGGGCUAGAGUACGGAAGAGGCGAGUGGAAUUCCCGGUGUAGCGGUGAAAUGCGCAGAUAUCAGGAAGAACACCGAUUGCGAAGGCAGCUCGCUGGGACGUAACUGACGCUGAGACGCGAAAGCGUGGGGAGCAAACAGG
rnacentral:rRNA from 1 species